rnacentral:snRNA from 1 species
UCUUAAAUGUCUAAGUAAAGACAU